CCUACGGGAGGCAGCAGUGGGGAAUCUUAGACAAUGGGGGCAACCCUGAUCUAGCCAUGCCGCGUGAGUGAUGAAGGCCUUAGGGUCGUAAAGCUCUUUCGCCUGUGAUGAUAAUGACAGUAGCAGGUAAAGAAACCCCGGCUAACUCCGUGCCAGCAGCCGCGGUAAUACGGAGGGGGUUAGCGUUGUUCGGAAUUACUGGGCGUAAAGCGCGCGUAAGCGGAUUAGAAAGUUGGGGGUGAAAUCCCGGGGCUCAACCCCGGAACUGCCUCCAAAACUGCUAGUCUAGAGUUCGAGAGAGGUGAGUGGAAUUCCGAGUGUAGAGGUGAAAUUCGUAGAUAUUCGGAGGAACACCAGUGGCGAAGGCGGCUCACUGGCUCGAUACUGACGCUGAGGUGCGAAAGUGUGGGGAGCAAACAGGAUUAGGUACCCUGGUAGUCCACACCGUAAACGAUGAAUGCCAGUCGUCGGAUAGUAUACUAUUCGGUGACACACCUAACGGAUUAAGCAUUCCGCCUGGGGAGUACGGUCGCAAGAUUAAAACUCAAAGGAAUUGACGG
rnacentral:rRNA from 1 species